rnacentral:rRNA from 1 species
AGUGAACGCUGGCGGUAGGCCUAACACAUGCAAGUCGAACGGCAGCACAGUAAGAGCUUGCUCUUACGGGUGGCGAGUGGCGGACGGGUGAGGAAUACAUCGGAAUCUACUUUUUCGUGGGGGAUAACGUAGGGAAACUUACGCUAAUACCGCAUACGACCUACGGGUGAAAGCAGGGGAUCUUCGGACCUUGCGCGAUUGAAUGAGCCGAUGUCGGAUUAGCUAGUUGGCGGGGUAAAGGCCCACCAAGGCGACGAUCCGUAGCUGGUCUGAGAGGAUGAUCAGCCACACUGGAACUGGGACACGGUCCAGACUCCUACGGGACGCAGCAGUGGCGAAUAUUGGACAAUGGGCGCAAGCCUGACACAGCCAUACCGCGUGGGUGAAGAAGGCCUUCGGGUUGUAAAGCCCCUUUGUUGGGAAAGAAAAGCAGCAGGUUAAUACCCCGCUGUUCUGACGGUACCCAAAGAAUAAGCACCGGCUAACUUCGUG